CGCUAUCCUCCUCAGGCCGAGGAGGAUGCAGCCUGCCUCACUCACCGCCCCCACCCAUCAGGGCCCAUUGCCGUGCCCCGCGGGCCGCAGCCCGCUCUCACACCUAUCUGCGUGCGCUUCUAUCUGGCAGAGAGCAGCACCUCGCGGCCGGCCGCGGGGCCUCCACGUGGCCGCAGGCAGUCGGCUCCGGGGGACGGGGCGCUCCCAGCCCGCGUUUACACUCGGAAGGAAGGCGAGGAAAGCGGUAUCGAGCCGCGGCACCGAGGCGUGAGCGCCGCACCGCUUCCCGGGGCAGCGGGCCCGGCCAGCCGCUGCGGGGCCCGACGGCGCCCCCCGCCCCCUGCAACGGCCUGCAGCCGCCGCGUUCCGCGCCCCCGCUGCGGGCGGGCGGCUUUACCUGCCGCGUGGCCGCCCCACGAGGAUGUGGAGAGCGGGCUCGGGGCGGGCUCUUGCCGGCCGCCUCAGGGCACGGCGGCCCCCGCCGCCCCCAGCCCCUCGCCCACCCGGCGGGUCCAGCACCGCCACGUCACGAGGCGGCCGCGCCGCCGUGCCCCCCGCCCGCCGCUCCGCAUCGCGGGGAAGGAGGUGUCCGCUAGUGCCCGCCGGCUCCUACUCCUCGUCCGCAACCCCGGGCCCCCCCGCCACCGCCGGCCCGAGCCGGCCGCCACCCGCACCGCCGCGCCGGCCGCUUGUGGGGGAGGGAAUGUAAACAAAUGGGGUUUUAUAGCUACCUCACUCGAGUGCCGUGUGCAUCUCCCUCUCCGCUCGGUACCAAACCGCCGCGGCGCCUCCUCCUCCUCCUCCUGCAGCUCCUGCCGCCGCCGCCGCUACGCUAUUCGCCAACCGCCGCUACGCCAACCCCCAGUGCGCUCGCCACACUCUCCCCUACGCACCGUGCGGAUCGCGUCCCCGCAGCCUGCCCGGCCCAAUGCGGAGCCAUUUCCUCCCCUUCCCCCGCGCCUCUCUCCCCCCUCCCUGCUCCGCCACCAGCUACGAAAAUGGCGUAGCGCUCCCCCCUCCCCUCCCUGCGGCGCCUUGCGCUCAUCACUCAAGCGAGCGGGGCCGGGCGGCGGCGCAGAGAGGAGCGCAGCUCUGGAGUCGGAGCCUCCCGGAGGCCGCGCUCUGUGCCGCGGCCGUGCCGCUCGCACCGAGAGGAGCUUGCCGGGCGAUACCGGCUAUCACGGAGCGACGGGUGGAUCGUCCGGACGAGCCCCGGCUGGCAGCCUUGUGCCUCCCCCCGGGCGGCGGCUAAGCGAAGCGGGGCCCGGGCGUGCCCCCGGCCGGCAGCCUCGUGCCCGGCUGCAGGCGGCCUGGGCGCUGCCGUGGCGGCGGGGCCAGCGGCUGGGCCUGCAUCGGGGCUGGGCCUUCCUUCAGCAGCCUCUGAGUGAAGUGCCGGCGGCGCCGGGAAACCGUGGUGUUCGGGGGGCACGGCUUGUCUGUCACCCCGGGACCGUUCCAGGAAAGAUACGUACUGGCCUGACUGACUGA
rnacentral:lncRNA from 1 species